GCCUAAUACAUGCAAGUCGGACGGGAUUCAGGGAGUAGCUUGCUACGAACUGAUGAGAGUGGCGCACGGGUGCGUAACGCGUGAGCAACCUACCCAUAUCAGGGGGAUAGCCUCUCGAAAGAGAGAUUAACACCGCAUAACAUUGAAGAACGGCAUCGUUUUUCAAUCAAAUAUUUAUAGGAUAUGGAUGGGCUCGCGUGACAUUAGCUAGUUGGAGAGGUAACGGCUCACCAAGGCUACGAUGUCUAGGGGCUCUGAGAGGAGAAUCCCCCACACUGGUACUGAGACACGGACCAGACUCCUACGGGAGGCAGCAGUAAGGAAUAUUGGUCAAUGGAGGCAACUCUGAACCAGCCAUGCCGCGUGCAGGAUGACUGCCCUAUGGGUUGUAAACUGCUUUUGUCAGGGAAUAAACCUUUCCACGUGUGGAGAGCUGAAUGUACCUGAAGAAUAAGGAUCGGCUAACUCCGUGCCAGCAGCCGCGGUAAUACGGAGGAUCCAAGCGUUAUCCGGAUUUAUUGGGUUUAAAGGGUGCGUAGGCGGUCCUAUAAGUCAGUGGUGAAAGACGGCAGCUUAACUGUCGCAGUGCCUUUGAUACUGUAGGACUUGAAUCUAUUUGAAGUGGGCGGAAUAAGACAAGUAGCGGUGAAAUGCAUAGAUAUGUCUUAGAACUCCGAUUGCGAAGGCAGCUCACUAAGUUAGUAUUGACGCUGAUGCACGAAAGCGUGGGGAUCAAACAGGAUUAGAUACCCUGGUAGUCCACGCCCUAAACGAUGAUAACUCGAUGUUUGCGAUACACAGUAAGCGUCCAAGCGAAAGCGUUAAGUUAUCCACCUGG
rnacentral:rRNA from 1 species